CACGUAGGCUGCUUUGUAAGCAGGGGUGAAAUCCCACGGCUCAACCGUGGAACUGCCUUUGAUACUGCUUAGCUUGAAUCCGGGAGAGGGUGGCGGAAUUCCAGGUGUAGGAGUGAAAUCCGUAGAUAUCUGGAGGGACAUCAGUGGCGAAGGCGGCCACCUGGACCGGUAUUGACGCUGAGGUGCGAAAGCGUGGGGAGCAAACA
rnacentral:rRNA from 1 species